rnacentral:rRNA from 1 species
GACGAACGCUGGCGGCGUGCUUAACACAUGCAAGUCGAACGGAAAGGCCCUGCUUUUGUGGGGUGCUCGAGUGGCGAACGGGUGAGUAACACGUGAGUAACCUGCCCUUGACUUUGGGAUAACUUCAGGAAACUGGGGCUAAUACCGGAUAGGAGCUCCUGCUGCACGGUGGGGGUUGGAAAGUUUCGGCGGUUGGGGAUGGACUCGCGGCUUAUCAGCUUGUUGGUGGGGUAGUGGCUUACCAAGGCUUUGAAGGGUAGCCGGCCUGAGAGGGUGACCGGGCACAUUGGGACUGAGGUACGGACCAGACGGCUACGGGAGGCAGCAGGGGGGAAUAUUGCACAGUGGGCGGAAGCCUGAUGCAGCAACGCCGGGUGCGUGAUGACGGCCUUCGGGUUGUAAACCGCUUUCGCCGGUGACGAAGCGUGAGUGACGGUAAUGGGUAAAGAAGCACCGGCUAACUACGUG